UGGCCACUCCCCUUUCUACCCACACCCUCUGUGGGCCACCUAAUGUGGGGAGUGGGAAUACCACCCUGCAGACCCCUCCCUUCUCUGGCCACAGGCAGCUAGUCCCACGUCCAGCCUGCCAAAGCCCUCUGCAGCCCCCACCCCUGCCCGCCUCUACUCCCAGGAGUGGAGGGCUCUCUUUGCAGGAGCCCAGAAGUUCAUUUCCUGUUCCAGCAGCUCCUGAGGUUGGGUCUCCCAUGGCUGCAGCUGGCUGACCGGCCCCAUGCUGCGCUCUCCUCUCUGGCCUCAACUCGCUGUGACUCUAGCAUGGUUUAGUGGAUCCAGCCUCACUCCAUUUACAGGAACCCCGCGUGCCUUCCAUCGUCCUCUGCAUCUCAGCUCUGACUUGGCAGCCCUCCGACCUCGGCCUGGUUACUUCGCCUUUCAGCAGCUUCUUUAUGUGGCUGCAGUGAGAAUUAAGUGACAUAAUCCAUGUACAGUGCCAGGCACACAGAAGGUCAUUCAGGAAAGAUGAUUAAACUACUCACCCAGGGACACUGACUGAUGAGAAGAGUGGUGCUCAGA
rnacentral:lncRNA from 1 species